rnacentral:tRNA from 1 species
GGUCCUAUGGUCUAGUGGUUAUGAUUUCUGUCUUACACACAGAAGGUCUCCAGUUCGAUCCUGGAUGGGACCA